CCCUUAGAUGUUCUGGGCCGCACGCGCGCUACACUGACGAAUGCAACGAGCUUAUAACCUUGGCCGAAAGGUCUGGGUAAUCUCCAAAUUUCGUCGUGAUGGGGAUAGAUUAUUGCAAUUAUUAAUCUUCAACGAGGAAUGCCUAGUAAGCGCAAGUCAUCAGCUUGCGUUGAUUACGUCCCUGCCCUUUGUACACACCGCCCGUCGCUCCUACCGAUUGAAUGGUCCGGUGAAGCGUUCGGACCGUGGCCUUUGGACGGUUCGCCGUCUGUUGGCUGCGGGAAGUUCGUUAAACCUUAUCAUUUAGAGGAAGGAGAANUCGCAACA
rnacentral:rRNA from 1 species